UCUUUCUCCAUUCCUCCCAAAUCAUUUCAACUCAAGAUAUUCUGAAAAUCACACCAGAAUUUGGUAUCAUACAAAUUAAGCACCGUAAUCCCUUGCAUCAUUCCACAUUGUAAAAUUUUUUAUAUUAUUUGUUUCAUUGAUUAGGGAUUUAUCACAUCUAUAAAACCCUAAUUGGUGAUGAAGAUACAAAAAUCUGAUUUUUCUGAGGUAAUACGAAGUGGGUUCUAAGUUUCCGGCAGGUUAUUGCAUCACACAGAAGCAGUUCAAAUUUGUUUUCAAACAACAAUGAGGAAAUGGGCCAAAACUCAAUUUAGACUGCUCAUAAAUCUAUUCACUCUUCUCUGGGUUCUGUAGAGUACAACAAAUACUGAAGCUACUCCUUGUUCAUGGGUUCCGUCAAGACCUAGCGAGUUUGAACGUCAUCUAAGUCUUUGGAGAUCAUUGAGCCAAAAGAAGAAAAAUUUGGGACUCCUCAUCACCGCAUUACCAGGUGGUCCCAGUCUAUUAGUAUUCUAUCGGAUUCAAAAGGAAAAGGGUAUUCGUCCGUCAUAUGUAAGAGCCGUGCAAUUCAACGCUGAAUCUUCAGGGAAGACGAACCUAAAGAGGUCUAUGGAAGCUUCGAUAACUAAUCCCAACAACAAAAAAGAAAAAGGCGGUGCUCAAAUACGAGCCACAGGCAAGUCACAUUAUCGUUAGUAAUAUUAACUACUAAUUUUCGUCACUACAGUGAUAUUUGUUCACACAAUCCCAUCAUAUUGUUUCACAUUUUGUUGUGAAUGUAAGAAACAUCUUACAUUCUGAGGCAGUUAUAACUCAAGUCUUUGGUUGAAUAGGAGAUUACAUGCACUGCAAUACCUGGUAGUCUAAUAUCGAUCAUGUCAUCAUUCCAAUCAUGAUGGAGAAGAAAGCUCUUUGGAUACUUGGUCACUACGAUGUGAAGGACAGAUGCUUUGUACGUUCAUAACUCAAGUCGGCCGGCUUUGAGAGAUAGAAUCGUGUGCUGCGAUGUAGAAGCUUUCAUUUAUGUUCUCCCCUGUCUUGUGGUGAAGAUAAAUGCAUGGCAACCCAAGACCAUCAAUGGCAUUAAAUGGCAAACCACUUGAUCUGAAAAUCGUGACUAACAUACCACAAGAUGAUCACGGACAUGAUUGUUGGCCAUAUGUCAUCAAGUUCAUCGAGUUCAUUAUAAACCAAAAAUUGAUGAAAUGUCGACGACUAUGAUCCAGAAGUAUCCAGAUGUAACUUGGUCUGUCAACUAUUCAAGCAUGGCCGCUAGAAGAUGAUUGAAGCAUAUAAUACAGAUUUUGACCUCAUACUUCCACGUGUUAGGUGCAGCAGGACGAUGAAGGGUGUUGUUAUUGUUUGAAUCUUACCUGGAAAGUUUGUUUGAUGUUUAUUUUAGUGUGGCACAGUUCGAGUAGAAGUUUUUGUAUCAUAUCUCUUUGUGUGAGAGAAUUUCAGUAUUUCGUCAUAUAAUUUUGGAAUGUUUCCUAGACUUGCAACAUCAUUUUUCGAAAUUUCAGUGAAAAUUA